ensembl:lincRNA
UGUCAUCAAAGAGGCUGAGCCACAGUCGUUUCCAGCAAGAGUGGCUUCUAGCUAAAAGCAAGAGCAACCUGGGUCCUGUCUGCAACAUGGAUGAGCUCACUCUGCACCGGGUUGAUGCUGAGCAAAACAUAUAGCACACAGAACACAGCAAGCUCAAAGGCUGGAAGGCAGAGGCUGCAAGAACAUAAUCCACAUGAACGAAAUAUUGGGCAAGAUCAUUGGAUUAAUUCAAGUCAUACAAGGACUGAUUUUAUCUUGUUCUUCAGAUCCAGGGUGACCUCACUUCAUCAUUGGCAGAGAUUUUCAAAACUGUUCGAAAAUGCAGAAAAUCAGAGCAAGAGCACAUUAAUCAUAGAAAUUCGAAGGGGAAGAGAUCUGUUCAGUUGGUCCACUCCCGGAUUGCCAAGAUGGUGCCUCAUCCACACGAUUCAGUCCAACUUAAAGGGACCAAAGUGAUAAGCCUCCCUCCCCACUUCCCUGAAGGGAAUCCUGAACUACUUUCUUUGCUGGGUUUUGGAAGAUAAUGGGGGUUUUAGGCAAGACUUGAACAUAAUCACGCUCUAAAAUGGCUAGUCUUCAAAUCGUCUUUGAUCCAAAGAUCAUUUAGAUGCUAUUUUUUUUGCAAUGCUCCUUCUACUGCCCUGUCACCAGACCAAAGUACAAGUGUCUGCUUGUGUCAAGCACUGCCCACACUUGGAGAUACGGCCUUUAAAGGGGUGUUGAGUUAAAAAUGAGCCGCUAGUGCAUUCUAAUGAACCCCACUAGCGUUCUAAUCCAGUCUGACUGGUGUCCUUCAUUGAAGAGGAAACGAGGCCACACAAAGACAUACCAGGCACGCACACACACAGAGAAGAAAGGCCAUGUGAAGACACAAUGAAAAUAUGACCAUUUUUAAGUCAAGAAGAGAGGCCUCAGAAGAACCUGAACCUGACAACACCUUGACUUGGACUCCUAGCCUCCGGAGCUGUGAGAAGACAAAUUUCUAUGGUCUGUGUUAUGACAGAGCUAGCAAACUAAUAUAGUCAUCAUGCGGAUUCCUACGUGUGUAUAAUCAGAAGAGAGUCAUAGAAACCAGUUAAUGGAAAGAAGCCUUAGAUUUGGAAUGUCCCCUUAGCUCUUGUAAGAAGAAAUAAAAUCAGGCUGCCUAAGGAUGCCACUGAACGCUGUGUGCAGAUCUUUCCUAAUAUGUAGGGUGUGCCUCCAAAGCUUGCUUCAUGUGUGUAUAGAAACAACGCCCAGACUCACUAAGUCAGCGACGACUAAUCACUAUGACAAAUUUAUGUGGAAUAAAUCGACAAAGUCAGAAGAUCGUUAAAUAUACCUCUAACAUGUUUGGCUUUGUCUGUAAAAAGUUGAAAGACAAGGUAGCAUGGGCAAUGUUCUCUUUAAAGAUUCCAAUUGAGUAUAAUUAUCCUGC